rnacentral:rRNA from 1 species
UGGGGGAUAUUGCACAAUGGGCGAAAGCCUGAUGCAGCGACGCCGCGUGGGGGAUGAAGGCUUUCGGGUUGUAAACCUCUUUCGCUAUCGAACAAGGCCCGCUUAGGGUGGGUUGAGGGUAGGUGGAGAAGAAGCGCCGGCUAACUACGUGCCAGCAGCCGCGGUAAUACGUAGGGCGCGAGCGUUGUCCGGAAUUAUUGGGCGUAAAGGGCUUGUAGGCGGCUUGUUGCGCCUGCUGUGAAAACGCGGGGCUUAACUUCGCGCGUGCAGGGGGUACGGGCAGGUCUGAGUGUGGUAGGGGUGACUGGAAUUCCAGGUGUAGCGGUGGAAUGCGCAGAUAUCUGGAGGAACACCGAUGGCGAAGGCAGGUCACUGGGCCAUUACUGACGCUGAGGAGCGAAAGCAUGGGUAGCGAACAGG